UUUGCAAAGAACCAAUGCUAUAUCCAAAUAAGUUCAAAGGAGGAAAAUGUAUUAAUAACUAUGGGCCACCAUACGGUCGUCAAUAAUGAGAAAUAUUUGUACCAUAUACGUGUAGAAAGCUAUUAAAGGCCCCGAUAUGAAACAUGUGGAACAAUUCAAACGAGAAAACUUACGUGUUAAUCAGUAACAAAAAUUUUUAUUAAAAACAA
rnacentral:lncRNA from 1 species